AGAGUUUGAUCCUGGCUCAGAACGAACGCUGGCGGCGUGGAUAAGACAUGCAAGUCGAGCGGGAUUUUUUCCUGUAGCAAUAUAGGGAAAAGUCUAGCGGCGAACGGGUGCUUAACACGUGGGCAAUCUGCCGAGAAGUGGGGGAUAGCUCGCCGAAAGGCGAAUUAAUACCGCAUGUGAUCAGAGUGGACAUCCAUUCAAAAUUAAAGUCGGGGCAACCUGACGCUUCUUGAGGAGCCCGCGGCCUAUCAGCUAGUUGGUGAGGUAACGGCCCACCAAGGCUUUGACGGGUAGCUGGUCUGAGAGGACGACCAGCCACACUGGGACUGAGACACGGCCCAGACACCUACGGGUGGCAGCAGUCGAGAAUUUUUCUCAAUGGGGGAAACCCUGAAGGAGCGACGCCGCGUGGAGGAUGAAGGUCCUCGGAUUGUAAACUUCUGUCAUUGGGGAACAAGGUGCAUACGUUAACUGCGUGUGCAUUGAUAGUACCCGAAGAGGAAGAGACGGCUAACUCUGUGCCAGCAGCCGCGGUAAUACAGAGGUCUCAAGCGUUGUUCGGAUUCAUUGGGCGUAAAGGGUGCGUAGGCGGCGCGGUAAGUCGGGUGUGAAAUCUUGGAGCUUAACUCCGAAACUGCAUUCGAUACUGCCGUGCUUGAGGACUGGAGAGGAGACUGGAAUUUACGGUGUAGCGGUGAAAUGCGUAGAUAUCGUAAGGAAGACCAGUGGCGAAGGCGGGUCUCUGGACAGUUCCUGACGCUGAGGCACGAAGGCCAGGGGAGCAAACGGGAUUAGAUACCCCGGUAGUCC
rnacentral:rRNA from 1 species